GAUGAACGCUGGCGGCGUGCCUAAUACAUGCAAGUCGAGCGAACAGACGAGGAGCUUGCUCCUCUGACGUUAGCGGCGGACGGGUGCGUAACACGUGGAUAACCUACCUAUAAGACUGGGAUAACUUCGGGAAACCGGAGCUAAUACCGGAUAAUAUAUUGAACCGCAUGGUUCAAUAGUCAAAGACGGUUUUGCUUUCACUUAUAGAUGGCUCCGCGCCGCAUUAGCUAGUUGGUAAGGUAACGGCUUACCAAGGCGACGAUGCGUAGCCGACCUGAGAGGGUGAUCGGCCACACUGGAACUGAGACACGGUCCAGACUCCUACGGGAGGCAGCAGUAGGGAAUCUUCCGCAAUGGGCGAAAGCCUGACGGAGCAACGCCGCGUGAGUGAUGAAGGUCUUCGGAUCGUAAAACUCUGUUAUUAGGGAAGAACAAAUGUGUAAGUAACUAUGCACGUCUUGACGGUACCUAAUCAGAAAGCCACGGCUAACUACGUG
rnacentral:rRNA from 1 species